rnacentral:misc_RNA from 1 species
UUUUUCUGAAUUACUCUAGCAAUUUUCUCAGAUGUACGUCGCAUGAAAAUUGUCAUAAACUGCCCCCAUUAUACCAUAAAACGAUAAAUAUGUUGUAAAAUCAUAAACGAGGGCAGCGAGCCAUCUCAUAAAUUGUACAAAAUUGGCCCACUUUGCAACAACUAUCAUUCCGCUGUUAUAAAAAGAGCAGUUUAUUUUAUUUAACGGAAAAAAAUGCUUUUCAUAAUUUCACGGCCAUAAACGUCUAAGGCUAGCCUUUUCACAUUCCACGACCCGCCAUAGCGUAGCAGAAUUUUAUUGUAUCGCCUUGAAUAAGUGCAAAUAGCAAAACUUGUAACUUACUACAUUUUGGGGUGACAAAAUAAAUGUUUUAUAAAAAAAAUACUGGGACAUUUUAUAAACCAGAUAAAUGGCGAAAAAAGUUACCCUCAGUUUAAUAGAAUUGAAAAUAUAUAUAAUUACAGGUAAAACCGUAAAUGAACUAUAAAUGUAAUCAAAUAUCAGCCAAAAUAAACCUUCAUGAGAGCCCCUUGGUUGAACCUUUCGGAGGCUACUCCUAAUAUUUGACUGAGUCCGAGUGCUUUAUUUGAUUCUGUAAACGU